rnacentral:rRNA from 1 species
GACGAACGCUGGCGGCGUGCCUAACACAUGCAAGUCGAACGGCAACGCCCUGCUUUUGUGGGGGGCUCGAGUCGCCAACGGGUGAGUCACACGCGAGUACCCCGCCCUUGAUUUUGGGAUAACUUCCGCAAACUGGGGAUAAUACCUGAUACUAGCUCCUGCUGCUCGGUUGGGGUUGGAAAGCUUCGGCGGUUGCGGAUGGACUCACGGCUUAUCAGCGUUCUGUUGAUGUAGGCGCUUACCCAAGCUAUGACGGGUAUCCGGAUUGGCAAGGUGACCGGCCGCAUUGGGAAUGAGAGAAGGCCCAGACUGCUGAGGGAGGCAGUGGUGAGGAAUAUUGCACAAUGGAGGGAAGCCUGAGCGAGUAACGCCGCGUGCGGGAUGACGGGUAUCGGGUUGAAAACCGCUUUGGCCUGUAACGAGGAGUGAGUGACGGUACUGGGUAAAGAAGCACCGGCUAACUACGUG